rnacentral:rRNA from 1 species
UACGGAGGGUGCAAGCGUUAAUCGGAAUUACUGGGCGUAAAGCGCACGCAGGCGGUCUGUCAAGUCGGAUGUGAAAUCCCCGGGCUCAACCUGGGAACUGCAUCCGAAACUGGCAGGCUAGAGUCUUGUAGAGGUGGGUAGAAUUCCAGGUGUAGCGGUGAAAUGCGUAGAGAUCUGGAGGAAUACCGGUGGCGAAGGCGGCCCCCUGGACAAAGACUGACGCUCAGGUGCGAAAGCGUGGGGAGCAAACAGGAUUAGAUACCCUGGUAGUCCACGCCGUAAACGAUGUCGACUUGGAGGUGGUGGCCUUGAGGCGUGGGUUCCGGAGCGAACGCGUUAAGUCGACCGCCUGGGGAGUACGGCCGCAAGGUUAAA